GUACCUUAAUUAAUGGGAAAGGAACUUGUUCUAUACAGAGAAGGAAUCUGGGUAUUCUUUUCCUUAAGAUCCUUCUAAGGAACCAUGUUCAGUGAUAGCUGUAUUUCAGGUAUUAUGAGUUACUGAAGGGAGAAUAUAAUGGUAUAGCACACACUUAUGUCCUGAAAGACCAACAGAGUACAUGAGGAGUAUACUUGAGAAGGCAUACUGGAGCCUGUUGGGAGAUUUGGUGAUAAGUGCUGUCUGACGAGAGAAGAUGGCUGCUGUAGGACAAGGACCAGAGCAGGAAGGAGACAAGUAGAGAGUGUGUACUGUGGGAAGGGUCUGUAAAGAACUUUGGAACUGAGUGGUGUGGGACCUAUCCAUUAUGGUGGGAGCGUUUUCAGAUAUCACCGACUAGCCCAGAGUAUGCAAUAGCAGAAAAAGAUGGAAACUUGGCUUAGUCUGAGAUGGGCAUUUCCUCGGCAUGUAUGCAUUGAAGGAAACGGGUGAUAGCAAAUGAUUGGCUGUGGUCCUUUGUUGGAUUCUGACAUGUUGACAGAAUUCAGGAACUUGUAAUCAAGUGAAAAGGACCCAGCAACAGUGAACUCAACCACCAAACACAAGAAACUAGUCAGCAUCCUUAAUACUUUUCUUAGCACUUUUCUACUGGAGAUAAGUUCUAGGUGAACUACCAAGAAAAAUGGGGAGCUUAAAAAAAUUAUUUUAUUACAAAUAUGCCAUUUGUCAUAAGGGUGAGAUUACAUUGAAUGACUUGUUAGUCACACUUUAUUAAAUUAUGUUUGUUAGAGACAAAAAGAAAGAAGAUAAAGAAAAAAAACGUUCCAAAACUCCACCAAAAAGCUACAGCACAGCCAGACGCUCUCGGAGUGCAAGCAGAGAGAGAAGACGACGGCGAAGUAGGAGUGGUACAAGGUCCCCUAAAAAGCCCAGAUCUCCUAAAAGAAAGCUGUCCCGCUCACCAUCCCCAAGGAGACAUAAAAAAGAGAAGAAGAAAGAUAAGGACAAAGAAAGAAGCAGAGAUGAAAGGGAGCGAUCAACAAGUAAGAAGAAGAGGAGCAAAGACAAGGAGAAGGAACGAGAAAGGAAGUCUGAGAGUGACAAGGAUGUCAAA
rnacentral:lncRNA from 1 species